UGGGGAAUAUUGGACAAUGGGCGAAAGCCUGAUCCAGCCAUGCCGCGUGUGUGAAGAAGGUCUUCGGAUUGUAAAGCACUUUAAGUUGGGAGGAAGGGCAGUUACCUAAUACGUGAUUGUUUUGACGUUACCGACAGAAUAAGCACCGGCUAACUCUGUGCCAGCAGCCGCGGUAAUACAGAGGGUGCAAGCGUUAAUCGGAAUUACUGGGCGUAAAGCGCGCGUAGGUGGUUAGUUAAGUUGGAUGUGAAAUCCCCGGGCUCAACCUGGGAACUGCAUUCAAAACUGACUGACUAGAGUAUGGUAGAGGGUGGUGGAAUUUCCUGUGUAGCGGUGAAAUGCGUAGAUAUAGGAAGGAACACCAGUGGCGAAGGCGACCACCUGGACUGAUACUGACACUGAGGCACGAAAGCGUGGGGAGCAAACAGGAUUAGAUACCCACGUAGUCCCUGAGCGGGCUGGCAAGGCGCAU
rnacentral:rRNA from 1 species